AGUGAACGCUGGCGGUAGGCCUAACACAUGCAAGUCGAACGGCAGCACAGUAAGAGCUUGCUCUUACGGGUGGCGAGUGGCGGACGGGUGAGGAAUACAUCGGAAUCUACUUUUUCGUGGGGGAUAACGUAGGGAAACUUACGCUAAUACCGCAUACGACCUACGGGUGAAAGCAGGGGAUCUUCGGACCUUGCGCGAUUGAAUGAGCCGAUGUCGGAUUAGCUAGUUGGCGGGGUAGAGGCCCACCAAGGCGACGAUCCGUAGCUGGUCUGAGAGGAUGAUCAGUCAAAUGGGAACUGAGACACGGUGCAGACUCCUAGGGGAGGCAGCAGUGGGGAAGAUUGGACAAGGGGCGAAAGCCUGACCCAGCCAUGCCGCGGGUGUGAAGAAGGUCUUCGGAUUCCAAAGCAUUUUAACUGGGGAGGAAGGACAGUAAGUGAAUACCUUGCUGGUUUGACGUGACCAACAGAAUAAGCACCGGCUAACUUCGUG
rnacentral:rRNA from 1 species